GGGCCAUGGGGAUUCUAAGGACAGUGAGGGGAGUGGGAGAGAGGACUCGAGCCAAGGUGACAAGGAGCAAUCUGAUUUUUAGCUUAGGGGAUGUUCCGACAGCUGUGGAAGAGGGAUUGGGGUUGGGAUGGAGGAGAGUUAGGACUGGCUGUGAGGAAUGAAGGGGGUCAGGGGUUGCCAGAGGAGCUGGAGAGAAGAACACAGAUUUGGGGACAUUAAUGAGGCCAAGCCAGGCAAUGCAAAGGGCAAGAAGAGCAAGGGGGAGGUCACAGUUCAGAUCCCUGGGGACUGGACAGGCGGGCAGGCAGAGCCCACAGGCAAAUAGCAGCCCACCCGGGGAGCCCGAGGGCAGGUGCCUGCCUCAGCAGUUGUCCCUAGCAACUCUGUGAGAAGCAGACAGAGCUGCCACUUCUUUUUUUUUUUUUUUUUUAGACAGAGUCUCGCUCUGUCACCCAGGCUGGAGUGCAGUGGCGUGAUUUUGGCUCACUGCAACCUCUGCCUCCCAGGUUGAAGCGAUUCUUCUGCCUUACCCUCCCAAGUAUCUGGGACUACAGGCGCGUGCCACCAUGCCCAGCUAAUUUUUUGUGAUUUUAGGAGAGAUAGGGUUUCACUGUGUUAGCUAGGAUGGUCUCGAUCUCCUGACCUCGUGAUCCGCCCACCUCAGCCUCCCAAAGUGCUGGGAGGCCGAAGUGGGCAGAUCACCUGAGGUCGAGAGUUCGAGACCAGCUUGACCAACAUGGUGAAACCCCGUCUCUACUAAAAAUACAAAAUUAGCCAGGCAUGGUGGCGCGUGCCUGUAAUCCCAGCUACUUGGAAGGCUGAGGCAGGAGAAUCGCUUGAACCUGGGAGGCGGAGGUUGAGGUGAGCCAAAAUCGCGCCAUUGCACUCCAGCCUGGGCAACAAGAGUGAAACUCCAUCUCAAAACAAACAAACAAAAACAAACAAACAAACAAAAACCCUAUUACUGACUCAGCACUUACUAUGCGUCAAGCACCCAGCUAAGUAUUUUAGACAUAACCUCAUUUUGUCUUCAUAACAUGCCUAUGUAGUUUAUCCUCAUCCCCGUUUAACAGAUGAUGAAAUGGAGGAUCAGAGGAGAUCAGCAGCAACUUCCCACAGCUGCACAGCUACACAUAAAGCAUCUCCUUUAAUGACUGACAUGAACAUACCUGUCAAGCAUUAACUAUCAGCAUUAAUGGAAACGACUACAGGGAAUGGAAAUGGUAUAGCCAUCAUCUAAAAACCAUCUCCCGGGUUGGAAACCCACCAGCAUUUCCCUUCCUGGUUCUGUCUGGCUCAGGUGUACAUGGACAGGAAAAUUAAUUUCCAUGACCCAAGUAGGUGCUUAGUUAAUGUUAGAUGAGCAGAAAGAAGCCCUGAGUUCAGAGAUUCGAUGGGGAACGGUGCAGGGAAGUGGGGCUCGGAUUCUGGGGCCAAGAGAGUCAUCUGAAAACCACAGAGAACUCAGACUAACAGGCCUGAUGACCGAUGAACAGCAGUUACUGUUGACUCAGCCAGGCACCGUGCCACGGCCUUACACGCUUUUCCCAUGUCAUCCUGGCAACAGGCUUAGAAGGUGGGCAUUGCCACCUCCAAUCAUCAGCUGAGGAAUCUGCAGCCCAGAGAGGAAAGGGGCUUGCUCAAGGGAAGGUGAGAUCUAAGUGGUGGCACAGGACUGGAACCCAGGCCAGCCAGACUCCUACUCCAGUGCUCCCAACUUCUGUGAGACUACAGACAUUGGGAGGUUGCAGUCUGGGCUGGAACCUGGUGUUCCCCCCAAGUCCCCAGCCACUCGUACCAGUCAGGGUCUCCUUGGCCAGCAGCAGGGCCUGCCCCUCGGCUUCCAGCUGCUCCCGGCGGGCCUCAAGCUGGGCCAGCUGCCAUUGCACCUCAAACAGGCUGCCCUCCAGGGCUUCCUUCUCCAAGCUGCAGCACAUACAGUGCGUGAGGCCCUGGGACUCAGCCUCCCUGGCCCCAGGAAACUGUGGAUCUCAGGGAGUGGCCAGGCAUGGGCCAAGUGCCAAUCUACCUGCCUGGCCAGGCCCACACUCCCUGGGGAAGCCUGAGCCCACAGCUAGGACGAGUUGGCAAGCCAGACUCCUUAGUAACUGCCCCUGGGGGCCCGUGCCUGGGUGAGGCUGUUCAUGGCGUGGCCCCAGGAGGACCGCCCAGGGCGGGUUGGGCAGAGCCCAAGGCCUUACUGCAGGUGUGUGGCCUCCUCUGACACGGUCCUGCCUUCACGCUCCGCAGGCCGCCAGCUGCACAGCCAGGCCAGCGUGCUCCUUGGCUAGCGCCUCCUUCUCCCGGGCCACUUGCCCCAGCGUCUCCACCUGUCACUGGGCCUCCCACCGGGCCUGCUCCAGCUCCUGCUCCCGCCUGCUCAGCUGCCAGGAGAGCUGGCUCCCACCCAGAGACUGAGUAGCACUCCCAGCAUCCCCCAGCUUGUUCAUCGUGCAGUACCCCAACUCUGGGCCUAACCCAGUCCUGGCAGAAGGCCUGGGUUCGAGCCCAGGGUCUGCCCUGAUGUGCUAUAUGUACUUGGGCAAGUCAUGACCUUCUCUAGAUCUGCAAUGCACGUGUGUACAAAAACCAGGGCCCGGCCGGACACGGUGGCUCACGCCUAUAAUCCCAGCACUUUGGCAGGUGGAUCACUUGAGGUCAAGAGUUCAAGACCAGCCUGGCCAACGUGGUGAAACCCUGUCUCUACUAAAAAUACAAAAAUUAGCCGGGCAUGGUGGUGCACGCCUGUAGUCCCUGCUACUUGGGACGCUGAGGCAGGCGAACAGCUUAAACCCCGGAGGCAGAGGUUGCAGUGAGCCCAGAUCGUGCCACUGCACUCCAGCCUGGGCAACAGAGCAAGACUGUC
rnacentral:lncRNA from 10 species